CUGCAAGAUUGAAGGUGUUUGCUCUGAACCUGAGAGGAAGAAUUACGGUCGUUUUUCCUGGAAUCUGGCGCCAUUGUGACCAGAACAACGAAAGUAUAUCCACCACUAACAGGUGUAAAUGCCUCCCAAAAUGCCUCCCAAAAAGCAUAAAGGGCAAAAGGGCAUCAUGUCCUUUUUUACGAAGAAAAGUGACGAUCCUGGCAGCAGCAGUACAGAGAAAACACAGCUAGGUGGAGCUACAGCCUCUCAGUGUCAGCGAAAGUAGACUACAUAAUGCCACAGGCUUUCAAUGGAAAGUGAAGGAAGAGAAUGGCUUUGACGGCGAACAUUCACAUCAUUUCACAGUGAAAUUCAGU